rnacentral:rRNA from 1 species
AUGCUCGUCAUGAACGGCUCUUUCACCUUCGUGGAUCCCGUCCAGCCGGCGCAGAUGCGCGACCCCGGCGGGAAGAAGAGAGAUCGCUGCGGGGAUCUCCUUCUCGCCGACGACUCCGAUGCUGCAGGUUGGUCGUCGGCGAUCCUGGACCGCAGCCUCGCCCUCCGCCGUCGGCGAGGCCCAUCCCCCUCUUCCUUCCACCGCGGCUGCCUCGUCGUGACUGAGGCGCAGAACAGCCGUGACCAGGAGACAGCUCCGGCAGUUGUGGCAGAAGAAAUCCUGGAUCGGCAAGGGAGUGAAAAGGAGCCGACUGUCGAGGAGCUGGUCUACUGGACAGUCAUCUAG